GCCUCGCUAGCGCAGUAAGCAGCGCGUCAGUCUCAUAAUCGAAUAUAGAAAUCUGAAGGGCGGGAGUUCGAUCCUCCCACGGGGCA
rfam:Nematostella vectensis strain CH2 x CH6 NEMVEscaffold_3484_Cont45389, whole genome shotgun sequence.